rnacentral:rRNA from 1 species
UGCAGUCGAACGGUGAAGCCCUUCGGGGUGGAUCAGUGGCGAACGGGUGAGUAACACGUGGGCAAUCUGCCCUGCACUCUGGGACAAGCCUUGGAAACGAGGUCUAAUACCGGAUACUACCUUUGGCCGCAUGGUUUUGGGUGGAAAGCUCCGGCGGUGCAGGAUGAGCCCGCGGCCUAUCAGCUUGUUGGUGGGGUGAUGGCCUACCAAGGCGACGACGGGUAGCCGGCCUGAGAGGGCGACCGGCCACACUGGGACUGAGACACGGCCCAGACUCCUACGGGAGGCAGCAGUGGGGAAUAUUGCACAAUGGGCGCAAGCCUGAUGCAGCGACGCCGCGUGAGGGAUGAAGGCCUUCGGGUUGUAAACCUCUUUCAGCAGGGAAGAAGCGCAAGUGACGGUACCUGCAGAAGAAGCACCGGCUAACUACGUGCCAGCAGCCGCGGUAAUACGUAGGGUGCGAGCGUUGUCCGGAAUUAUUGGGCGUAAAGAGCUCGUAGGCGGCUUGUCGCGUCGGAUGUGAAAGCCCGGGGCUUAACCCCGGGUCUGCAUUCGAUACGGGCAGGCUGGAGUGUGGUAGGGGAGAUCGGAAUUCCUGGUGUAGCGGUGAAAUGCGCAGAUAUCAGGAGGAACACCGGUGGCGAAGGCGGAUCUCUGGGCCAUUACUGACGCUGAGGAGCGAAAGCGUGGGGAGCGAACAGGAUUAGAUACCCUGGUAGUCCACGCCGUAAACGUUGGGCACUAGGUGUGGGCGACAUUCCACGUCGUCCGCGCCGCAGCUAACGCAUUAAGUGCCCCGCCUGGGGAGUACGGCCGCAAGGCUAAAACUCAAAAGGAAUUGACGGGGGCCCGCACAAGCAGCGGAGCAAUGUGGCUUAAUUCGACGCAACGCGAAGAACCUUACCAAGGCUUGACAUACACUGGAAAACCCUAGAGAUAGGGUCCCCCUUGUGGUCGGUGUACAGGUGGUGCAUGGUUGUCGUCAGCUCGUGUCGUGAGAUGUUGGGUUAAGUCCCGCAACGAGCGCAACCCUCGUUCUGUGUUGCCAGCGGUUCGGCCGGGGACUCACAGGAGACUGCCGGGGUCAACUCGGAGGAAGGUGGGGAUGACGUCAAAUCAUCAUGCCCCUUAUGUCUUGGGCUGCACACGUGCUACAAUGGCCGGUACAAAGAGCUGCGAUGCCGUGAGGCGGAGCGAAUCUCAAAAAGCCGGUCUCAGUUCGGAUUGGGGUCUGCAACUCGACCCCAUGAAGUCGGAGUUGCUAGUAAUCGCAGAUCAGCAUUGCUGCGGUGAAUACGUUCCCGGGCCUUGUACACACCGCCCAGUCAACGUCUA